CGCGAAGAACCUUACCUGGUCUUGACAUCCACAGAACAUUCCAGAGAUGGGAUGGUGCCCUCGGGAACUGUGAGACAGGUGCUGCAUGGCUGUCGUCAGCUCGUGUUGUGAAAUGUUGGGUUAAGUCCCGCAACGAGCGCAACCCUUAUCCUUUGUUGCCAGCGGUCCGGCCGGGAACUCAAAGGAGACUGCCAGUGAUAAACUGGAGGAAGGUGGGGAUGACGUCAAGUCAUCAUGGCCCUUACGACCAGGGCUACACACGUGCUACAAUGGCGCAUACAAAGAGAAGCGACCUCGCGAGAGCAAGCGGACCUCAUAAAGUGCGUCGUAGUCCGGAUUGGAGUCUGCAACUCGACUCCAUGAAGUCGGAAUCGCUAGUAAUCGUGGAUCAGAAUGCCACGGUGAAUACGUUCCCGGGUCUUGUACACACC
rnacentral:rRNA from 1 species